UCAGGUAACUCCCACAUAAAACAACCGGAAAAGUGCUAAGGAAAAAGGAAAUUUCCGUUAAGGUGCAGACACGGUUCCAGGCAAUCGUUGAUGUACCAGAAAGUGGCUAUGCAGGGCCUAAAACUUGUUUUAUUAAAGAGAGUAGCCGAGAAAGUUUUGAGGAAUGAAGAAAUCUUUGGUUAAGGUGCAGACGAUGUUUCUAUGCAAUUGUCGGUGUACCGUAAAGUUUUACAGAGACAUUUGCUGGAGGGGAGGUACACCGAAUAUAAUUAUAUGGGUUUUCUGCAUCACUUGUUUUUAUCUGGAGUUGUUUGGGUGCCACUUUCUGUUAAACCAAACCAAAGUUCCAUUUUGUGUUAAGUCUUGGUUUUAGAGCCUUAUUCAAAAGAAAUUUGGGGAAACUAAAAAAAAUUAUAUUUGUGUAGUCGCAAUCAGUAUUUAAAUAAGUUAUAUUUCAGUGGCAUAAAAAAUUAAUUGAGAAGUCGUAUAAGGAUAACGAAUUUAAGAAGGGUCACAAAAUUCUUCUCUAUUAUUUAAACCUAAGGCAUUUUAUUACGUUUGAUUCACGAUCUCAAUCAAAGAAUUUGAAAUUUCAUUCAUAUCAA